rnacentral:rRNA from 1 species
AGAGUUUGAUCAUGGCUCAGGGUGAACGCUGGCGGCGUGCUUGACACAUGCAAGUCGAACGGUAUGUGGCAACACAUAGAGUGGCGAACGGGUGAGUAACACGUGGGAACGUAUCUUUUGCAGGGGGAUAACUGACCGAAAGGACAGCUAAUACCGCAUAAGUCCGGGAGGAGAAAGGUGCAACAGCAUCGGCAGAAGAGCGGCCCGCGGUCCAUCAGCUAGUUGGUGAGGUAAGGGCUUACCAAGGCGACGACGGAUAGCCGGCGUGAGAGCGUGGCCGGCCACAAGGACACUGAGAUACGGGUCCUACUCCCACGGGAGGCAGCAGUGCGGAAUUUUAGAUAAUGGAGGGAACUCUGAUCUAGCGACGCCGCGUGCAGGAAGAAGGUCUUCGGAUUGUAAACUGCUGUGGUAAGGGAAAAAUGCUAUGUAGAGUGGAAAGCUACAUAGAGGGAUGGUACCUUACUAGAAAGCCCCGGCUAACUACGUGCCAGCAGCCGCGGUAAUACGUAGGGGGCGAGCGUUACCCGGAAUCACUGGGCGUAAAGGGAGCGUAGGUGGCCUAACAUGUCAACUGUGAAAACCCGGAGCUCAACUCCGGACUUGCAGUUGAAACUGGUAGGCUUGAGGACGGUAGAGGAAGACGGAACUGCCAGUGUAGGGGUAAAAUCCUUAGAUAUUGGCAGGAACGCCGGUGACGAAAGUGGUUUUCUGGGCCGGUUCUGACACUGAUGCUCGAAAGCCAGGGGAGCGAACGGGAUUAGAUACCCCGGUAGUCCUGGCCCUAAACGAUGUUCACUAGGUGUGGGGAGCGGAAAGCUCUCCGUGCUAAAGCUAACGCGAUAAGUGAACCGCCUGGGAGUACGCCCGCAGGUGAAACUCAAAUGAAUUGACGG